rnacentral:rRNA from 1 species
GCGGUAAUACCAGCCCCCUAAGUGGUAAGGACGAUUAUUUGGCCUAAAGCGUCCGUAGCCGGCUUAUCAAGUCUUUUGUUAAAUCCAACGAUUCAAUCGUUGGGACGCAAAAGAUACUGUUAUGCUAGAGGACGGGAGAGGUCGACGGUAGUCCAGGGGUAGGGGUGAAACCCUAUAAUCCUUG